GAAGGGUGCAAGCGUUACUCGGAAUUACUGGGCGUAAAGCGUGCGUAGGUGGUUCGUUAAGUCUGCCGUGAAAGCCCCGGGCUCAACCUGGGAAUGGCGGUGGAUACUGGCGGACUAGAGUGCGGUAGAGGGUGGUGGAAUUCCCGGUGUAGCAGUGAAAUGCGUAGAGAUCGGGAGGAACAUCUGUGGCGAAGGCGGCCACCUGGACCAGCACUGACACUGAGGCACGAAAGCGUGGGGAGCAAACAGGAUUAGAUACCCUGGUAGUCCACGCCCUAAACGAUGCGAACUGGACGUUGGGAGCAACUAGGCUCUCAGUGUCGAAGCUAACGCGUUAAGUUCGCCGCCUGGGGAGUACGGUCGCAAGACUG
rnacentral:rRNA from 1 species